AUUGAACGCUGGCGGCAUGCCUUACACAUGCAAGUCGAACGGCAGCACGGGAGCAAUCCUGGUGGCGAGUGGCGAACGGGUGAGUAAAGUAUCGGAACGUGCCCAGUCGUGGGGGAUAACGUAGCGAAAGUUACGCUAAUACUGCAUACGAUCUAUGGAUGAAAGCGGGGGAUCGCAAGACCUCGCGCGAUUGGAGCGGCCGAUAUCAGAUUAGGUAGUUGGUGGGGUAAAGGCGCACCAAGCCGAAGAUCUGUAGCUGGUCUGAGAGGACGACCAGCCAAACUGGGACUGAGACACGGCCCAGACUCCUACGGGAGGCAGCAGUGGGGAAGUUUGGACAAUGGGCGAAAGCCUGAUCCAGCCAUGCCGCGUGCAGGAUGAAGGCCUUCGGGUUGUAAACUGCUUUUGUACGGAACGAAAAGGUUUGGCCUAAUAAGCUGAGCUCAUGACGGUACCGUAAGAAUAAGCACCGGCUAACUACGUGCCAGCAGCCGCAGUAA
rnacentral:rRNA from 1 species